rnacentral:miRNA from 1 species
GAGUUCCACCAUGCAAGUU